GAUUAUUUGAAAUUAUACUAAUUGGAUAUUACUCAAAAUUAAAUGAAUUUAAAAUUAUAUAAGAUAAAUUUAGUUAUAGAGAAAAGAUUAGGAUUCGUAAUCGUGAUUAAUUUUACGUGGUAUUCUCCCGAAAUCAAAAUAUAGCCAGAGUCUUUCUAAUCAAAAAACAUAUCAUGAGAGUAAAAUCAAACGUCACCUAUAUUUAUGAUUAUCUUUCAAUGUGAGAUGUCCCACAGACAAUUCUAACUUUUUUUAAUAAUAAAAUAUAAUUACAUAUCCUAAUUAAAUAGAAUAAUUAAUAAUCACACAAUUAAAUUAAAAUAUACAAAAUUAAUAUUGAAGUAAAAAAUAAAAUAAAAUAAAAAAAUGGACUAGGGAUUCGAAGCGGAUAAAAGAAAAUUAAUACACUGGAUUUCAAGUGUAUUUAUAGGGUCAACAAGGUUGAUUAUUUUUAUAAUUAUUUCACGGUUUUUUCUUAUGCUUAAAUAUAAACAAACCUCUAAAAAAAGUAUAACCAAAAUUGCACCGAUAAAAAUAAGAGAGAAAAAACGAAAAAUAAAAAAGAGAUUACGCAUGUAAUUGGGCUUGGAUGUGAAACUCUUAUUGGGCUUUAUACUGCAAAACAAAUUCGGUCAAUUAUUCAUAUUCUUUAAUUACUAUGAUAUGCGUAAAUAUUCAUUUUACAUUUUCACUUUUUUA
rnacentral:lncRNA from 1 species